AGAUUGAACGCUGGCGGCAGGCCUAACACAUGCAAGUCGAGCGGCAGCACGGGUACUUGUACCUGGUGGCGAGCGGCGGACGGGUGAGUAAUGCCUAGGAAUCUGCCUGAUAGUGGGGGAUAACGGUUCGGAAACGGACGCUAAUACCGCAUACGUCCUACGGGAGAAAGUGGGGGAUCUUCGGACCUCACGCUAGUCAGAUGAGCCUAGGU
rnacentral:rRNA from 1 species